rnacentral:lncRNA from 1 species
AAUAAACAUAACAUAACAAUGAUAAUAUGAAUAUUUUGCAUAAAAAAUCAUAGACAUACAAAUGCCAUUUGUCCAGUGUAAUAAAAUAUGAAUCAAUGGAAAAAAAGUUGGUAUGUUGAUUGUAGGUUUAAUUGCCAUCUUCUGAACAUUUUUUAAACUAAAAUUGAAGGAAAAGACAUUUUCCUAGGCUAACAAAUUUACAAGCAAAUUAUAUCUUCUAUUGAUAGAGAAAUACAGGCUAUGAAAGGGAUAGUCAAUUGCAGUAUUUCCUUCGAAUAUAUACCUUUUCAUAUGGUUGAAUAUUUCGAAUGUUAAGAUUAUUAACAUAAGCAUAAAGAGAUUUCAGUAGGGAAUCAAGUAUUAUAAUUUUACAGAUAUUAAAACAUCUUCUUACUUAUCUCCCCAACCAUAAAAAAAAGAAGCUAAAACCCUUAUUCUUCCUCAUGUGCAAGCUUCUUAAAUAAAUACUGGAUCUGGAAAGAAAGUUUUGUUUACUACAACCAUUUAGCAGGUUAUAAAAUUCUCUCGAUCAAAAGGUCUACAUGUUUCUGAAAUUUAUAGCUUUGUAUGAGAAUGAAGUAUUUCUGAAUGUAUAAAGAACAAUGUCCUUGAAGUCCUAUCACAAUCAAAUUUAUUCUUAGAAACAUAUCACAUACACAGUCUAACAUAAUAAGAGGAUCAUCUUUAAUAGCUUGUUUGAUAGGCAAAACUUAAAUUAUGAAAACCACAAAUAAUAAGAGAUCUAAGCAGUUAUUCAGAAGGGGUGGGUCGGACCUUUAUCGGGAAUCCGUGAUCAGGUCUUUUUAAUGCUCGGGAUUUCGGGAUUGAUUUCUUUGGUAUUUGGGAAUUCUUUUUUUCUACAUUUCGGGAUGUCAGGAUUUAUAUGCUGAACAAAUUGGAAAAUAUUUUAGAUGAUUUUAUGUAAUUACCAUUAGAAUGAGCCUGAGAAUGUUAUUUUUUUACCUUUUAGAGGGGAUUAUGCCCUGAACACCCUAUCAUAAAUGCACCUCUGUCUUUUCAGUAUUUAAAAAAAAUUCUAUCAAGAUAAUUAAUAAGCUGCAUAUAAAUAUGUGGUCAACCAAGCUUAUAGAUGAAUGAAGGAUUGGUAUGCAUUUGAGCAAAAUUAUUAAUGAAAAAAAAAAUU